GGGUCGGUAGCUCAAUUGGUAGAGCGCCGCGUUGUGGUCGCGGUGGUUUCGGGUUCGAAUCCCGGCCUUCCCUC
rnacentral:tRNA from 1 species